UACGUAGGGUCCGAGCGUUGUCCGGAAUUAUUGGGCGUAAAGGGCUCGUAGGCGGUUUGUCGCGUCGGGAGUGAAAACUCAGGGCUCAACCCUGAGCGUGCUUCCGAUACGGGCAGACUAGAGGUAUUCAGGGGAGAACGGAAUUCCUGGUGUAGCGGUGGAAUGCGCAGAUAUCAGGAGGAACACCGGUGGCGAAGGUGGUUCUCUGGGAAUUACCUGACGCUGAGGAGCGAAAGCAUGGGGAGCGAACAGG
rnacentral:rRNA from 1 species